rnacentral:snoRNA from 1 species
UUGCCCGAUGAUUAUAAAAAGAUGCGCUAAGAGGACUGAUGCUGGAGUUCUUUACCUUCUUUCUCUCUUUUUCUGUACUACUUGUUUCUUUCUUUGAAUGUCCAGCGUCCUAUGAGCGGAAGAUUAUGAGAUAUGAGGGCAA